GAUGAACGCUGGCGGCGUGCCUAAUACAUGCAAGUCGAGCGAACAGACGAGGAGCUUGCUCCUCUGACGUUAGCGGCGGACGGGUGAGUAACACGUGGAUAACCUACCUAUAAGACUGGGAUAACUUCGGGAAACCGGAGCUAAUACCGGAUAAUAUAUUGAACCGCAUGGUUCAAUAGUGAAAGACGGUUUUGCUGUCACUUAUAGAUGGAUCCGCGCCGCAUUAGCUAGUUGGUAAGGUAACGGCUUACCAAGGCAACGAUGCGUAGCCGACCUGAGAGGGUGAUCGGCCACACUGGAACUGACACACGGUUCAGACUCCUACGGGAGGCAGCAGUAGGGAAUCUUCCGCAAUGGGCGAAAGCCUGACGGAGCAACGCCGCGUGAGUGAUGAAGGUCUUCGGAUCGUAAAACUCUGUUAUUAGGGAAGAACAAAUGUGUAAGUAACUAUGCACGUCUUGACGGUACCUAAUCAGAAAGCCACGGCUAACUACGUG
rnacentral:rRNA from 1 species